rnacentral:rRNA from 1 species
CGGACGGGUGAGUAACGCGUGAGAAUCUGCCUUCAGGUCGGGGAUAACAGCUGGAAACGGCUGCUAAUACCGGAUGAGCCGAGAGUAAAAGCAAAAGUGCCUGAAGAUGAUCUCGCGUGUUGAUUAGCUAGUUGGUGGGGUAAGAGCCUACCAAGGCGACGAUCAGUAGCUGGUCUGAGAGGAUGAUCAGCCACACUGGGACUGAGACACGGCCCAGACUCCUACGGGAGGCAGCAGUGGGGAAUUUUCCGCAAUGGGCGCAAGCCUGACGGAGCAAUACCGCGUGAGGGAGGAAGGCCCUUGGGUUGUAAACCUCUUUUGUCAGGGAAGAAGGUCUGACGGUACCUGACGAAUCAGCAUCGGCUAACUCCGUGCCAGCAGCCGCGGUAAUACGGAGGAUGCAAGCGUUAUCCGGAUUUAUUGGGCGUAAAGGGUCCGCAGGUGGUUAUUCAAGUUUGCUGUCAAAGCGCGGAGCUUAACUCCGUACAGGCGGUGGAAACUGAGGAACUAGAGUCUGGUAGGGGUCGCGGGAAUUCCCAGUGUAGCGGUGAAAUGCGUAGAUAUUGGGAAGAACACCGGCGGCGAAAGCGCGCGACUGGACCGGAACUGACACUGAGGGACGAAAGCUAGGGGAGCGAAAGGGAUUAGAUACCCCUGUAGUC